rnacentral:rRNA from 1 species
UAGGGAAUCUUCCGCAAUGGGCGAAAGCCUGACGGAGCAACGCCGCGUGAGUGAUGAAGGUCUUCGGAUCGUAAAACUCUGUUAUUAGGGAAGAACAAAUGGGGAAGUAACUAUGCACGUCUUGACGGUACCUAAUCAGAAAGCCACGGCUAACUACGUGCCAGCAGCCGCGGUAAUACGUAGGUGGCAAGCGUUAUCCGGAAUUAUUGGGCGUAAAGCGCGCGUAGGCGGUUUUUUAAGUCUGAUGUGAAAGCCCACGGCUCAACCGUGGAGGGUCAUUGGAAACUGGAAAACUUGAGUGCAGAAGAGGAAAGUGGAAUUCCAUGUGUAGCGGUGAAAUGCGCAGAGAUAUGGAGGAACACCAGUGGCGAAGGCGACUUUCUGGUCUGUAACUGACGCUGAUGUGCGAAAGCGGGGGGAUCAAACAGG